CAUCCUGGUCCCAAGCAGGUCUGGCUGCCCCAGAAUGAAUUCCAGAAUCCAGGAAGACUCCACUGUGUGAAAGGUGAAAUAAAAUGGAGUCCCUUAUGUCAAGGGGCUUUAAAAUGGAGUUAGAAGGCCUUUCAGGAGAUGCACCUCCUUAUAAUCCUUAGUAGGUAGAACCAUGAAUUUUUUAACUGGAGCAAAUUGCAAAGAUUCCAAGGAUUCUGCAAGAACACCUACAACUUGUUAUAGUAAAGGACUUUUGCUUAUUGAUAGCCCUAGGAACCAAUUAUGUUUAGCCAAGGUUAGCUUUCUGGCACCAACACUGUAGCUGUGGCCCAAGGGUGCAAGAUUCAGCCACUCCCUGCUAAAAAAAUCCAAAGGCAGAGAGACCGGGAGUGAUGAAACAAGAAAGGAAUUUAUUUCAGUGAGACCCAACACUAGGAAGGUAGUGACUAGUGUCCCCAAAACAGUCCCCAAAGUGCUUAAAAUUCUGUAAAGAAAAUGUGGGACAAAGGUUAGUGGAUAUGUUCAUGCCUGUGGUAAAGGUCAAGUCCAUCACUUUCUUGGAGUCAAUCACAUGGAGUCUUUAUUGCUUGAGGGGUAGAUUGGUUUUUGUCAAGGGAUGCUUAGCCAGUGGGGUCUUUUGCCUGAGUUAGAAGAUAAGCUGGGGCGGAAAAAGAUAAGCUGGAAAGAAUUUAAUCAAUUACAAAGUACAGACAGAGGUAAAAAUGGAGUUAGUGGAAGUCCUUUCAACACAAUAAAAAUUUUUGUAGGCAACAAACACAACUUUUUCUUUUUGUCUUUAGAAAUCCCUAAUUUUUGCUCCCUAGUGGGACAUUAUUGGGUUGUUACCCAAAUAUGUGUACCCCGAAUGGCAAUUCUUUGAUCCUAAAUAAAUUCUUUUGCUUAAAUUAUUGCUUCUUGACAAUUUUAGGUUGACAUUAGCAAGACUUGAUGUGGCCUUUCUCUUCCUUUCCCUUUCCUUUCUUCUUUAUGCCUCUGUUUUGUGAAAAUUAAUAAAGGGAAACCUCACUAAAAUGGAGUCAGGAGGUUCAGCCAGAAAAACUCUCAUGCCCUACCACUCCUCCUUAACUGCAGACUCAACAGGAAGAGACAGACCUUGAAGUGGAUAGUAGUUCACUAUUCCAGUAGAAGGAUGGAAGGCAGCCCACCAGCCUAGCCAAUGAGAGCCACAACUGAUGGACAGCCACUAUACUUUCAGCUCCCAGUUUACUCCAGUAAUCUUUGCAUUUAUAAGAACUUUCCCAACUUCCUGCUUUCCUCUAUAAAAGAGCAUUCUCCAACUUUGUUGGGGGAAGCUGCCUAUGGUUUUACCCUGGCUUUCUUGUUCUGGAUUGCAGUUAUCUGUUAUCCUCAAAUAAACCCAGCUUUUGCUGGUAAAAUAGCUAAUAGUUUUAUAUUUAAGGUUAACAGUUUAAAUUCUAAAACAUGCAAACUGUGUCUAUUUUUCCAAUCAAUUUUUACAGAAAAGCAACUUUCCCACCUACACUUUUGAUUCAGUUCCCCUGAGUGGCCACUGUGAGCAAUUUACCGAUUUUUUUCCAGUCACUUCCAUCCAUAGGAAUGCAUACAGGGCUCACAAGGUAAACCACAAUAAUCAUACAGCAGGACCCAAGAUCUAUCUUAGUUUAGGAGGCUGGUGUGAAGCUCUUGUUUUGAUUUUGAUUUUGAGAAUGAAACUGAUAAGGAUGUGCAUCCUGAAGACACUUAUUAUGGAAAUAUAUGCAUACUUGGAAUUAUUUUCCAAGCUAGUGGAAACUCCAGCCAAUUACCCUUUUCAAGGUUACUUUUACGUUAAAAAAAAAAAAAAAAAAAGACAAACCCAAAUCAAGGUUAUAGAAAUCAUAAAAUUGUAAAUGUUUUCAUUGAAUAAAUCAGCAAAAAAUUCAGAAAAGCAGUAAUAUUUCAGAAUUUAUUUUUAAAAUAUCAGUUUAUAUUAGGUAGGGCCCGUGUUUACACUGCAUGAUGAAUGGCUUAUUUUAGUAAGGCUGUAUUACUCCAGGAUAAAUGUAAGGAUGACCUAUGUAGACAAGGUCAAAAAUCUGGAUUUGAUGGUUUGGGGAAUGUAAGCCCAAACACGCCUGUUAGCCUCCCAUAAGUCUUGCCUUUUUCUGUGCAUUUAAGAUGCACUUCUUAAAGCUAAUAACAAAUUACAUUAGCUGUUUUAUGUCAGUACAUUCAUAUUUAUCUUCAUUUUUUAAACAGUGGUAUUUUAUUGUGUGAUAGAACCAAAGAUUAUUUUAUUCUUCCCUUUUAUGCAUAGCUGCUUAGAUUAUACUCUGGUUUUGGUUUUGCUGAUUCCAACGUCAUGAUAGUAAUUACACUUGUAUUGAUAUGAAAAAUGAUUUUAGGAUUUUGUUUUUAUAUCGGUAAAUUCUUCUCCAAAAGAAAGUUGUUCCAGUUUUACACUCACAUCACACAUGCAUAAGUGUAAGCAUCCAGAUCGAGGAAGCACCGAGAGCCCCCAACAAAUUUAACCCAAGGGGGUCCACACCAAGACACAUCAUUAAAAUGGCAAAAGUAGUGAUAAAGAAUUUUAAAAGCAGCAAAGGAAACAGUUACAUACAAGGGAAACCCCAUAGGGCUAUCAGCUGAUUUUUCAGCAGAAACUUUGCAGGCCAGAGGGAGUGGCAUGAUAUUCAAAGUACUGAAAGGAAGAAAAGCCACAAUCAAGAAUACCCAGCAAGGUUAUCCUUCAGAAUAAAGGAGAGAUAGGGUUUCCCAGACAAACAAAAGUUAAAGGAGUUCAUCACCACUGAACCAACCUUACAAGAAAUGUUAAAGGGACUUAUUUGAGUGGAAACAAAAGUUCAUAAUCAGGAGUAAGAAAGCUAUAAAAGGAAAAAAAUGCAUAGGUAAGUGCAAAUAUAUAAUGCAAGUAGUAGAUUAAUCACUUAUAAAACUAAUAUGGAAGUUAAAGCACAAAAGCAGUAAAUUCAAUUAUAUCUACAAAAGUCAGUCAAGGGAUCCACAAAAUAAAAAGAAGUAAAGUGUGACAUUAUAUACAUAAAAUAUGAUGGGGGAGUAAUAAAAUUUAGUGCUUUUAGAAUGGGCUCAAACUUAAGUGACCAUCAAUUAAUAUAGACUGCUAUACAUUAUAUAUGAAUCUAAUCUAACCACAAACUCAAAACCUAUAAUAGAUAUGCAAAAAUCAAGGAGAAAGGAAUCCAAGCACAAUAAAGGAAGCCAUCAAACCACAAGGGAAGAGAGAAGAAAGAGAAGAAGAAAGGAACAGAAGAACUACAAAAGCAACCAUAAUACAAGUAACAAAAUGGCACUCCCUGUGACCUGGAUCUUUCGUAAGGAAAGGAAGGCCCAUGUCAUGUCACUGAUGCUCCUUCUACAGUGUUGAUCACCAGGCUCAAGACAUGCCUUCCCCAGGCUGAGAGAGGUGAGGAAGCUGCAGGAGAAAAGUCUGAGGCUGGCAGAGGUUGGUUGACGAGGUCUGAGGACAGAAGCUGUCUCCGUGACAUCAAGGUGCAAGGCGAAGCAGCAGGAGCCGAUGUGGAAGCUGCCGCAGGUUCUCCAGAAGAUCCGGCUCAGAUGAUUCAUGAGGACGGCGACACUGAACAACAGGUUUACAACGUAGUGAAGCAGGCUCCGUUGGAAGAAGAUGCCACCUGGGACUUUCACAGCUACAGAGGCAAAGUCAACGCCUGGCUUCAAAGCUUCAAAGGACAGGCAGCUGGUGACUUCAAGUGAAGCCAGUGCUCAUUUACUAUUCUGGAAGGCCGAGGGCCCAUAAGGAUGAUGCUAAAUCCAUCCACUCUGCCUGUGCUCUGUACAUGGAACAACAAAGCCUGAAUGACCACACUUCUGCUCACUGAGUGUUGUAAGUCCACUGCUCGCUGACAGUGCACGGGUCACCCAUGAGCGCUGAUGGAGAUGGACGACGAGGUGAACGUGGUUUUUGUGCUUGCUCACACAGCAUCCAUUCUGCAGCCCAUGGGUCAAGGAGUCAUUUCAACUUUCAAGUCUUAUUAUUUAAGAAAUGCAUGUUGUAAGGCUAUGGCUGCCGCAGACAGGGAUUCCUCUGAUGGAUCUGGGCAAAGUAAAUUGAAACCUUCUGGAAAGGAGUCACCAUUCUAGGUGCCAUUAAGAUCAUUCGUGACUCACGGGAAGAGGUCAAAAUAGCAACAUGAACAGAAGUUUGGAAGAAUUCGAUCGCAGCCCCCACGGAGGACCGUGAGGGCUUCCGGACUGUGGUGGCGGAGGUGUCUGUGGGUGUGUGUCGGGGGGAACGGCGAGAGCCGGGACUGGAAGAGGAGCCUGGAUAUGGCACUGAAUUGCCGCCGUCUGGUGAGCAGACUUGAACGGAUGAGGAGUUGCUCCUUCCGGAUGAGCAAAGACUAUGGUUUCUUGAGGUGGGAGCUACUCCUGGUGGAGAUGCUGUGAAGAUGCUUGAAAUGACAACAGAGGGGUCAGAACAUGACAUAAACUCAGUCGAUAGAGCAGCGGCAGGGUUGGAGAGGCUUGACUCCAAUUUUGAAAGAAGUUUUGUUGUGAGUAAAGUGCUAUGAAACAGCAUCGCGGGCUGCAGGGAAAUCGGAAGACUCGAUCAACACGGCAGAUUUCAUUGUAUUAUUUUCAGGAAUUGCCGCAGCCACCCCGACCUUCAGCAACCACCGCCCUGAUCAGUCGGCAGCCACCGACAUAGGGACAAGACCCUCCACCGGCAAAAAGAUUAUGACUCGCUGGAAGCGUGGAUGAUGGUUAGCAUUUUUUAGCAAUAAGGUAUUUUUUAAUGAAUACAUCGUUUUGGACAUAAUGCUAUUGCACAUUUCAGUAGACUACAGUAUAGUGUAGACAUAACUUUGGAUGCACUGGGAAACCAAAUAAUUCAUUUGACUCUAUUGUGAUCGUCGCUUUAUCGGGGUGGUCUGGAAGCGAACCUGCAGUAUCUCCAAGGAAUGCCCGCUCAAGUUUGCAUGUGCACUGCGAGUUGUUUUAGGGUGGCAUUCUUUUCAAUUCGUGGCACUUUGUCCUCCUAACAGCGUUGCACGUUUUACUUGCAUUUAUUAUAUUGUAAGAUGCAGUCAUGUCGGAUGUGUGCAUUUACUUAUGUGUAACUAUUAAGGCUACAAGAUGUGUAUCUUCCGUUUUUAUAUUUUUGUAUAGAUUUAUAUGAGCAUGAAGAACCUUUUGAAAUGUACUCAUUAGUUGGAUUACCCAAGUCAUCUGAAUGGGAGGAGGCCACCAUGAAAUGAGGAGGAAUACAAAGGGGGAAGAUGAAAAAGCCCACUUCUAGGGAUGGCACUGGUGGGUUCGGUGCUCCCUCAUACCCAGUUAGCGCUUUCCAGGAUUAGACGACCAGAAACUUCUAAAGUGCCCACUCUUUUCAACGUGAUAAUUUUGUGGCUGUAUGAGUAUUUAUGUUAUUUCUAGGCAGAUGUUUCCAAGUAAGGAGAGUGAGGGGAAGUGGUAUCCACAUGCAGCCCUGUGUUUGGGUGCUCCCAAACACACUGAGGGCAGUCAGGCGUGGGCCUCCUUCUCACCUAUGGAUGGGGUGGGGGCGGGGGAUGGGUUAGAUCUGAGCGGCAAAUAGGUUCUAUGUCAUGUGUCACUGCAGGUCACAGGAGUAACCCUUCAGCCCCGUUUUCCUUCUCCAGUCCUUCCAGCAUAUCUAUAUUCCAGUCAUGGCGGGAUAACGUUAUAGAGGUCAUGCUCGGGGCUCUUGGUUUUUUCCAUCUCAAAGGUCUGUGUGUCCCCAGACUGGUAUGGCUGGACCCAAACUGGAAUCGCCUGAACGUCUGGGCACUUUCAGGGUCUCGGUGUUCUAGUAGAGUUCUGUGGGGGCACAACCCUCACGGCCUUGCUGUUUGUCUCUCUCCCACUUCCUUCCAGAGGCCCCGCCCUGUCCCUUCCCUUUCCUGGAAGACGCGAGUGUUUCCUGCCUCUGCUGUCCCUUCUGUGUGGGGCACUGUAUCUUCAGGAGGAGCCAGGAAUUUUUGUCAGUCAAGGUUCAGCUCACCUGUCCCUUUCCCAAGAGGACUUGAGCGCCCAUCCAAAGGAUUAGCCUCAUCAGUGUUUGUCAUGCUUACUCAUUUAAGGUAAGCUGCGUCAGAGGACGAAGCCGAUCCAGUCCAAAUGGCACUUGGCGCUCAAUAGGCACUUGAUACGUGUUUCAUUAGUGAUUGGUGUUCUUUCGUGCUUCUCUCCAGGGGAAGGUGCCACCUUUGAAGAGGUUGUUGGACAAUAUCAAACAAUACAAGGAAGGCCAUUAGGUACAAAAUACUCAUGUAUUUAUGAAUUCAUGACCAAAUUAAAUAUGAAACCUUA